rnacentral:lncRNA from 1 species
GAAAAAAAUGUAAAAAAUUGGGGGAAAAAAUGCAAAAAAUUGGGGGGAAAAAUGACAAAAAUUCAGUGUAAAAAUCCCCAAAAUUUGGAGUAAAAAUGCCCAAAAUUUGGUGUAAAAAUACCCAAAAAUUCCGAGUAAAAAUCCCCAAAAAUUUGGUGUAAAAAUACCCAAAAAUUCAGAGUAGAAAUCCCAAAAAUUUGGUGUAAAAAUCCCCCAAAUUUGGUGUAAAAAUCCCCAAAAUUUGGUGUAAAAAUCCCCAAAAAUUCCGAGUAAAAAUCCCCAAAAUUCGGAGUAAAAAUCCCAAAUUUGGGGGCUGCCCCCAUGGAUGGCUUCGACGCCCCCCGGGGACCCCCCCUGCCCGUCCCCCUGGCCGACUGAGGGACCCCCAAAAUCGGGGAAAACAUUCCCAAAAAACCUGGGAAAAUAGCCUGGAAGUUUGGGAAAAAAUCCUGAAAGUUUGGGAAAAAAAUGUAAAAAAUUGGGGGAAAAAAUGCAAAAAAUUGGGGGGAAAAAUGACAAAAAUUCAGUGUAAAAAUCCCCAAAAUUUGGAGUAAAAAUGCCCAAAAUUUGGUGUAAAAAUACCCAAAAAUUCCGAGUAAAAAUCCCCAAAAAUUUGGUGUAAAAAUACCCAAAAAUUCAGAGUAGAAAUCCCAAAAAUUUGGUGUAAAAAUCCCCCAAAUUUGGUGUAAAAAUCCCCAAAAUUUGGUGUAAAAAUCCCCAAAAAUUCCGAGUAAAAAUCCCCAAAAUUCGGAGUAAAAAUCCCAAAUUUGGGGGCUGCCCCCAUGGAUGGCUUCGACGCCCCCCGGGGACCCCCCCUGCCCGUCCCCCUGGCCGACUGAGGGACCCCCAAAAUCGGGGAAAACAUUCCCAAAAAACCUGGGAAAAUAGCCUGGAAGUUUGGGGAAAAAAUCCUGAAAGUUUGGGAAAAAAAUCCUGAAAGUUUGGGAAAAAAAUGUAAAAAAUUGGGGGAAAAAAUGCGAAAAUUUGGGGGAAAAAUGCAAAAAAAUUGUGGGAAAAAAUGACAAAAAUUCAGUGUAAAAAUCCCCAAAAUUUGGAGUAGGAAGCCCCAAAAUUAAGAGUAAAAAUCCCCAAAAAUUCGGAGUAAAAAUCCCCAAAAAUUCAGAGUAAAAAUCCCCAAAUUUGGGGGCUGCCCCCAUGGAUGGCUUCGACGCCCCCCGGGGACCCCCCCUGCCCGUCCCCCUGGCCGACUGAGGGACCCCCAAAAUCGGGGAAAACAUCCCCAAAAAAAUGGGGAAAAUAGCCUGGAAGUUUGGGGAAAAAAUCC